AGCCGCUAUACGCUUGGGUAUAGCGAAGGGCCACUUGGGGCCGACAGU
rnacentral:sRNA from 12 species